GAAUUGCGAUAAGUAAUGUGAAUUGCAGAAUUCAGUGAAUCAUCGAAUCUUUGAACGCACCUUGCACCCUUUGGUAUUCCGAAGGGUAUGCCCGUUUGAGUGUCAUUGUAAUCUCACACUUAGGAUUUUUCUUAAGAGGUGGACUUGAAGGUUGCUGUUUUCAUUAAUGGCUCCUUUUAAAAGCAUUAGUGAUGUACGCCUUGCAUUACAAACCAGUGUAAUAAGAUUCCGCUGGGUUGAAAGGCUUGAUAAUUCGCUUCAAACCGUCCAUUGAAUUGGACUGCCGCUUGCGGUAAUUGACAACUUGACCUCAAAUCGGGUAGGACUACCCGCUGAACUUAAGCAUAUCAAUAAGCGGAGGAAAAGAAACUAACAAGGAUUCCCCUAGU
rnacentral:rRNA from 1 species